rnacentral:miRNA from 1 species
CCUAUCCUGGAUUACUUGAACC